rnacentral:rRNA from 1 species
GACGUAGGGGGCGAGCGUUAUUCGGAAUUAUUGGGCGUAAAGAGCUCGUAGGCGGUUUGUCGCGUCUGCCGUGAAAGUCCGGGGCUCAACUCCGGAUCUGCGGUGGGUACGGGCAGACUAGAGUGAUGUAGGGGAGACUGGAAUUCCUGGUGUAGCGGUGAAAUGCGCAGAUAUCAGGAGGAACACCGGUGGCGAAGGCGGGUCUCUGGGCCGUUACUGACGCUGAGGAGCGAAAGCGUGGGGAGCGAACAGG